UGGUGCUCUAGGUCCCGAGGUAGCGUGCGCACCGCCCGAGUCUCGCGUCUCUUUGGAGCGCGUGUAACGGAGCGCCAGAGCGUCAGCCCGGGGAGAAAAGAAAAACCACCCUUCGCCUCCCCCUCCCUUUUCAAGAGGUGUUGCGACCGAGGGGCGUAAGGCGGGAAAGGAAACCCGCUGGAAGGAUUCGCUCCUCCUUUUCCUAUCCCGGUUCUGAACCCACCCAUCCCCGGGUCACUCAGCGGCCAGUGCCCGUAAUCUCCCCCUCCUCUCUGGGUACCGAAGCGGCGGGAGGGAGGAGGUAGUUCCGAGGAUCUGCCCCGAGGGGCACCAAGAUGGGGGAAUGGAGGCUUAGGGAAUGGGAGUCCGACGAAGGGAGAGGUUGGGGGAUGGCGCGUGGGAAAAAACAAAAAGAAGAAAAGGGGCCAGGACCUGGAGGAUCCCAUGAAGAAAACAGAGUAUGACCAACAGAGGGAGGGGACCCCAGUCCCAGGGGCAACUCGAGACAAUGGGAUCCAGAACAUAUCACAUCUCAGUAGAGGAAGGUAGAGUCUGGUGAGUAACCUCUGGAGGUGUUGAAUAAAUGUGUAGAGAAUGUUGUGUGAGAGUGUGGGGGUAAGGUCUCCUGAGUCAUCAACAUAUGACUAUGUGGCUGACCACUGGUCACUGGCCCAGGGGUUAUUCGGAAGGGCCUAUUGCCAAGUCGGACUAAUCCGGGGGAACUGCCCACCUAUUUCUGAGUGUGGACUGGGAAAGUACACAGUUCCUAUUUCCCAUGAAGGGAUAGAUUGGAAAUCCUGGGAAGCGUGUGGACGAAGGCUCUGACAUCCCUCUUGGCUACUUUCACUUAAGGAUCCCUGACUCCCUCUCCCUUGAAUAGGCCAUGGGAAGGAUUGGUUGGACUCGACACCCUUAAGCAGGGUAUUCUGGCCAGUUGAUUUUAGUCAACUUUAUUUGUGGGGUUAGAGUCCCCACUGAAGGAGUUAGAGGCCCUUGCCCAGGGUUAGAGUCCCCACUGCAGGGAUUAGCGUCCCUUGCCUGGGGUUGAGUCCCUGGUUCCGGGUGGUUAGAGGCCCCUGGUUGGAGUUAGGGGUGGUUAGAAGCCCCCUGGUUGGAAUUCAGGGUGGUUAGAGGCCCCCUGGUUGGAAGUAGGAAACCCAGUGGACACACUGGAGAAAGUGGGUGCGGCCCCAGGGGACACCUGGCCACAUUACUUUGUUUUUGGGACCACUCACCCCUAGCCCCUUGGGGUGAGUAGAGGAGCACAUCCAGCCCAAUGUUCAUAUUUGUUGUGUCUGUCUUGACUGUCCAGUCUGUCACAUAUUGUCCUGUCUGCUUUUGUGUUGGGAAAAAUUGGCUCUAAAUAGCUUGGGGGAAAAAACCCAAUUUCUUUUUAAUGUCCAUGUUACACCCUUGAUAAGCAAGAGGCAUGGCCUAUCCAUGGUACCCUAAAAUUGUAAUGCCAUCCUCUACUUGGGUGAUGGCUAUGCUGGACUUCUCCCUUUUCAGUCUGGGAAGCCUCAGGUGAAGAGUGGCUACUGUGAACCUUAAAAAUAGGGACUAGCCAACCCAAUUAAGACAAAGGGAAAAGUUUCCUCACAGGCCCCUCCAGUUGGGAAGAGAUCAAAUCUAAGCAGCCUAAGCGAAAAUUCAAUUGGGAUUUUUGUUUAUUUGUCUGUUUUCUCUCUUGUUAAAUAGCUGAGCACCAAUCAAGGGAAAAAUGAGGAAAUUGGCUUUUUGAUACCCUAAAUUAUACCACCAGGUGACAAUUGGACAUAUUUUGCAGGAAAGAGGGCAUAAUAUGGACAGAAGCCCCUCACCCUUUGCUUAGAUUUUAAGGCAAGGGCCCGCCAUCCAGACAGAGAAGAUAAGAAAAACUAGCAACUGGGUAGCUAUCAGUUCAUUGAUCAGAUCUGCCUCCCUCCUCUGCUGCAGGGAGGAAGAGGGUUGAUUUUGAACAGAAAGACAACUAGGAAGACCCCAGUCUCAUCUCUUACCCCACAGUUAGAGGCACUUUUCACUUAAGGUUAAUUCUAAGAGUUGAUGAUUGCAACUUGGGAGGAUUGCUAAUGAUUUCGAAAUGGUACAAAUGUAAUUUCAUGUAUUGUGGUAACUGUUUGUCAGUUAAAUGUGAAAUGUUAGCCAGAUUUUAUUGAGUAAACAAAACUCAUGGUUAGAAGUUUGUUUUGUUAGAUCUUGCAAUGCAUAAUGGUUUAAGUAAAUUUGAGAAUUAUCUAAAUGUGAUUGAUAGUCAGCCUGACACAGAGAGGGAAUGUUUUAUUCUGUAGGGACAGAAACUGUACUGGCUAAUUUAUAGAUGUAGAAGUCACCCAGAAAAAGUUAUGUUGUUGAGAAGAACUUAUUCUAGAAUUUAGACUUGGGAUUUCUUCAAAUCAGCUGUAAUUUUAAUGUAUGUGCUGUCAGAACUAGCAACAAGAAAUCAUAUGACACACAAGAAGUUUUUAAAGUGGUUAAUCUGUGCAUGGGAUUUAAUAAUACAAGUACUAAGAAUUUGGUAUUUUGCAAAAAAAGAUAAAUGGUGUUGUCUUUAACUAAGGUUAUAUGAAUUGUUUUCCACCCAAGUAGGUUACGGGUAUAUGAUAUACAUACUAUAUGUCCUUAACAAGACAAAUUUGACCAGCCCUGAAAUCAAGAAGGGCUUGUCAUGAGGAUUAAAUACAAUUCAGUACAAUACCUUUCCUCUACUUACAAUAAUGAUAAAGAGGAGAAACCAGAAGAAAUAAGAGUAAUGGAUAGAGAUACUGGUUGAUGCUAUGAAUUCUAGUGUGAAAUAGAUAAAACAAAUCAUAAAUUGGAAUAAUGUUGAUGGAAUUUAAUCAGGUAUGUAGCAAUGUUUUGAGCUAAAAGAAGAUUAAACUGGAGGUUCUAUUCUACUUUAGACAGAAGUUUGAGAUAAGUACAGGUAAAUGCUUUGCACUUCAGUUUGGUUACACACUGAAAGAUUGCUAAAGGACUAAAUCAAAGUUAUUUGGAAGUGUGGAGUUCAAACUGAAAUCUACUGAGAGUAAAUUAUUAUGAAAGGGGUUUGAUGCAUUCAGUGCUCGGCAAACACGGCGUGGGCAAAAUGAACAACAACGGCCUACUGCUACUUAGUGAAUGCUCAGAGUUCAAACUCACCAUCACAAACACUGUGUUCAGAAUGGUGAACAAAUAUAAAACAACGUGGAUGCACCCACGAUCAAAACAUUGACAACAUCAUUGUACGCCGGCGAGACAUCCAGGAUGUAAAGAUCACCAGAGCCAUGAGAGAAGCUGAAUGCUGGACAGAUCACCAAUUGGUUAGAGUAACUCUUCAAAUGCGCAUUGCGCCUCACCAUCCAAAACACGCCCAGACAGUUCGCGCAUUUUACAACGUGAGUCAUCUUAGAGAUCCAUCUUAUUUGCAAACAUUCGAGUCCUGCCUGGACAACAAGCUAUCUGACAAGGGACCACUCAUUGGAAGCUCAACUGAGUAAUGGAACCAGUUCAGAGACUCAGUGAAGGAAACAUCAAAGGCAGUCCUAGGCCCCAAGCAAUGCGACAAGAACAACACUGCUAUUGAAGACCUAUUGAGCAAAAAGAACAAAGCCUUUAUGGAGCGGCAAAAUAACCCAAACUCUGCUCCUAAAAAGGACAGAUUCAAGUCUCUCCAAGCCACGGUGCAGCGUGAGAUCAGGAAGAUGCAAGACCGAUGGUGGGGAAAAAAGGCAGAAGAAAUCCAGCAUUUUGCUGAUAUGAAAAACUACAAACAAUUUUUCAAUGACCUCAAGACUGUCUAUGGGCCAUUAAAACCCACCACCACUCCCUUGCUAUCCUCUGACGGUGACACUCUCAUAAAAGAUAAAAAAAGGCAUCAGCAACAGGUGGAAAGAACACUUAGGUCAGCUUCCCAACCAACCCUCUUCAGUUGACCAAAGUGCCCUUGACCAGAUACCCCAAAACCGCACCAUUGAACAACUUGACGUCCCUCCUUCAAUAGAGGAAGUCCAAAAAGUCAUUAAACAAAUGAGUGCAGGCAAGGCACCCUGUAAAGACGGGUCCCAACCGAGGUGUACAAGGCCUUAAAUGGAAAGGCGCUCCAGGCAUUCCACAUAGUGCUGACCAGCAUAUGGGAAGAGGAAGACAUGCCCCCAGAACUCAGAGAUGCCUCCAUUGUAGCCCUAUACAAGAACAAAGGCUCACAAGCAGCCUGUGACAACUACAGAGGCAUCUCACUACUCUCCACUGCUGGAAAGAUCCUCGCCCGUGUUAUACUCAACAGACUACUGUCAUCUGUUUCAGAACAGAACCUGCCUGAAUCACAAUGUGGCUUCCAACCAGAUCGCAGCACCAUUGACAUGGUCUUCACGGUGAGGCAAAUGCAGGAAAAAUGCCUUGAACAGAACCUAAGUCUCUACAUUGUCUUCAUAGACCUGACAAAGGCAUUUGACAUAGUGAACAGGGACGCAUUGUGGGUGAUCCUCAGCAAGCUCGGUUGCCCAGCAAAAUUUGUCAAACUAAUCCAGCUUUUUCAUGUCGUCGACAUGACAGGGGAAGUCCUAUCUGGUGGAGAGACUUCUGAUUGCUUCAACAUGGCGCGAAACAAGGCUGUGUCCUCGCUCUGGUACUAUUCAACCUAUUUUUCACCCAGGUAUUACGACAUGCUGUGAUGGAUCUAGACCUGGUCGUCUACAUCAAAUCCCGACUAGAUGGCUCACUAUUCGACCUUUGCUGCCUGACUGCAAAAACAAAGACAACAGAGAGACUCAUCCUGGAAGCUCUCUUUGCAGAUGACUGUGUUCUCAUGGCCCACCAAGAAAAACAUCUUCAAACCAUUGUGGACAGGUCUCCACUGCAACAAAACUGUUUGGCCUGACCUUAAAAGACUGAUAUAUAUUAAUUUAAGGUCGCCAAGGAAUUCAGCUAUGUAAUUCCUAAAUGAAAACUCAAGUCAGCAGUCAACCUUUUUAUGGAGUUUUUAAUUACAAACAGGAGGAAGAAAGGUAUGAGAGAGAGAGAGAGAGAGAGAGAAGGGAAUAGGGCUUAAAUACCCCCUCUAUUUAGGCUGGGCCAAAAGGCCCAAGCCCUUACAUAGCUGAGGCAAAGAAAAGAGAUCAGCCCCUAUCACUCACGUGACCAAAAUGGAGAAACAGUCUCAGGGGCCUCCACCUCCAGCCUCCUUCAGAGCAAAACUUCUCAGAGCACAACCUCUCAGAGCAAAACCUCUCGACCCCCUCUUUCAGUCCUCAGACCCCGCUAUCUUUAAGGAAACCAUCUCAGUUCUCACAUCUACCAAUCACUGUCCAUGUCUUCCCUGUGCCAAUGGUGGCUCUAGCUUAACCCAGGACCGCCCAGAGGUCUGUGGCUUUGCACAUGUCUGUUGAAGGUCAUAUUCUCAAAUAAUUAAAUUUUGAUCUAUGCUGUAGCCCUUCCUAAAUCCUGUUAGGACUGAGUAGGGUGGAGAUUGUAAGUUCCAAGACCUGGUUCUGUCAUUCCAAGUAUCUCUAUUGUAUCAAUUCUAAAAUCAAUCAUGACUCAAAGAACUUCCUGUUCUAUGCUUAAUCAUAGGUCAAAGCCCUUUCCAUUGUUCAGCAAAAGGUUUCUGUCCUAAAGUAAUCUUAAGAAGGGAGGAGAAGGACCCUCCCAUGCCAAGGGGGUUCACAUUCCAAUAGACUAUCAGUAGGAAAUUUUUCAAGUAUGAAAUUUCCCAAUGGUGAAAUUUCCAACAUUAUAAGUCUAAGAAAUUUUAAGGUUUACACUAUCAGCCUCAGCAAAAUAGAGGUGCUGUUCCAACCUGCACCAGGGAGGCCAACGAACCAGCCAUGCAUUACAAUCGACGACACGCAGCUUUCUAACGUCAACACUUUCAAGUACCUGGGCAGCACCAUCGCCAACAACGGGUCCCUAGACCAUGAGAUCAAUGCCAGGAUACAAAAGGCCAGCCAGGCACUCGGGUGGCUAUGCUGCAAAGUCCUCCAACACAGGGGUAUAAGCACUGCGAUGAAGCUCAAAGUGUAUAACGCAGUGGUCCUCAGCUCGCUCCUGUAAGGUUGCGAGACAUGGACACUGUACUGAAAGCACAUGAAACAGUUGGAGCAAUUCCACCAACGCUCCCUCCAGUCAAUCAUGAGGAUCCAAUGGCAGGACCAAAUCACCAAUCAGGAAGUCCUCAACAGAGCCAACUCCACCAGAAUUGAAGUCAUGGUUCUCAAAACCCAGCUACAAUGGUCUGGACACGUCAUCCGCAUGGACCCACAGCGAAUACCAAGACAGGUGAACUGUCAGCUGGACUCAGGAAACAAGGUCGACCAAAGAAAAGAUUCAAGGAUCAGCUAAAGUCCAACUUGAAGUGGGCUGGCAUUACACCAAAGCAACUACAACUUGCUGCCUCUAUCAGAAGCAGCUGGAUUUAACCACAUUAACCCACAUUAACCAUGCCGCCACCACCUUUGAAGAUGAGUGACGUCGACGUCUUGCCACUGCGCGUGAAUGCCGACACCAGGCCACAACCGCACCUCCCGUAACAACUGGCGUCCCAUGCCCCAUGUGCCACAAACUUUGCGCCUCAGCCUUUGGACUUCAAAGCCACAUGAGGGUACAUCAAUAGAUGAUAAUGCACAAAGACAAUAGUCAUUCUCGGUCACCGAGAGACUACCACUAAUAAGCUCACUGGUUAAAGAAGGAUGGGACAAGGCUGUUAAGUAAUAAAAUCUAAAUUUUAGUCAAGCAGCCUUAGGAUAAAUUACUCACAAGCUAUUAACCCCUUCCUUGCACACAGGAAGGAGAAAGAAGUGCUUAUAAUUGUUCCACACUGAUACUUUGGGACUGAAAUAGGGACCUCCAAGAGUUAACAACCACCAUGUGAUAGAACUUAAAGGUGAGUAUAUUUUAAUUGUAUAUUUUGGAGGUUUUAAGGUGCUCAACCAAGCAAACAUUGCUAGCCCUGUCUGACCAAGAAGCUUGUUUGAAGCUGUAGAAUCUUAAUGCAAACAUUCCAUGUCCAGAAUGAUAAAAUGAGUUGAGUGAUAUGUAAUUGAUAAGUUAUCUCACACAAAUUUUGGGGAUAAAUUGGUUGAUAUUUUGAUUACAUUUUGAUCUUUAUACAGAUAUAUUUGGCACAUAGUAGCCAAGGAAUGGGUAGGACAUUAGAAAUGGCAAAUAUGUGAAAAAUGCUUGCUCAGAAUUUUAUCACUAUUAUGUGAGUUGCUGCUAAAAUGUGUGUUUUAAGUAUUGUUUGAAUGAAAACAAAAGCUCAUUGUAAACCUGGCUGUACCAUAGAUUUUGUUCAAUACUCAAUGGUUACCUCAGUUUACCAAUUUGUACUAUGAACUGAAAUUUAUAAUGGAUGAGCCCUAUGCUAAAAAUGCAGUGGUUCAAUGAUGUAAUCCUUUAAAUCAGAAUUCUUUUGGGUUACAUAUUAGCAAUUGAAGUGAUACCAAUGGGAGGUUUGUUUGACUUAAGCAAGUCAGAGAAAGUGGGAAGGUAUGAAGAAAGGGACUUUGAUCUAAAGUCCAUAAAGCUCAAGUAUGUGGUUUUGUAAAGGAAGAAUGGAAGUUGUGUUCUACUUUUUAAGCAGAGGGGUUUUGAAGGAAGAGAGAGAGAGAGGGAGAGAGGGAGAGAAUGAGAGAGAGAGAGAGAGAGAGAGAGAGAGAGAGAGAGAGAGAGAGAGAGAGAGAGAGAGAGAAGGUGAAAGAAAACAUGUUCUGCUCUCAUAAUUGGAUCUUUAACUUAGGGAUAAUAUCUAGCUAGAUUUGAUGUAUGUGUUGUGUGAAAAUCACAUAAUAAUUCUUUAAUUUCUCUGGACAGUUACCCUGAAGUGAUUCCUGUAUGUCCUUGCCUUAGUCUUUCAGAUGGCCUAGGUCCAAGAGAUGAUACAGCUUUGAUUUAUAUUACUAUGGAGCUACUCAAUUCAGCACUCAUGCUCUUUAUUUUAGGUUUUGUGACUAAAGUGUGAUAUGUAAAUUAUUGCCAAAAUACAUAAGAAUAAUUGAGUGAUCAGCCUUGUAGGGAUAUAAAAGGCUUGUUUGAGGGUAUGGAAAUUUGUUUCUGGACUGCUGAUAAGCAGAAGUUCUCUCAGCUGAAAUGGGUGAGACUUGUCUUUUAAGGAAAAAGAAGGCUUCUGGGAUCGAAUGGUGACAAAUACCCAAAGGACAGAGAACAUCCUGGGAUGGUUACAGAGACAUAUUCUGGGCUCACCUGAGAAUGGACCUUUUCUAACCAUCUAUGCUGUUAAUCCUUGAGUGACACAAUGAUGGCAUGAGCCAGUGAUAGCUUUGGCCUGUACAUGAAGCCCUCACUAUGUGUCCCUUGGGACAUGAGGAAAUAUUUUCCCUGUUGGGCCUUUUCCUUUGUGACAAAUUCCCAUAAUCAGCACAUAAUGCCAGUUGUAAAAUUAAAGUUUCCAUUUCCUCAAACAACCUUAAUAAUUGAAAAUUCUUAAAUUGUUAGGGAACAUACUUUGAAAAGUAGGUGAAGUUUAUUAAUAAAUGGCUUGUAUUUGUAGCUUUAAUUUACCACAGUUGAAGUUUAGAUCAUGAGCUUGAAUAUAUAGCUCAAAGCUUUCUUGAAUUUCCCCCAGAAUCUGGGUUAAAGGAAUUCAUCUGUAAAAUAUUGUUACUCAAGUGUUUAUAGAUGUUUAUAGUUAAUUUGUACUUUGCAAAAGGAUAUUCUUUCAACUCAGGAAUCUGAUUUCUUAAAGGGAUCUAUUCCUGUCAGAAGAUGUCUGAAGAAGUCUGUUGGCUAAGAUACCCAAAUGCAAAUGUCUAAUAUCAAUUACUAUUUUACUAAUUUUCUCUGUUUAUAUCUGCUGUUCUAGUUUUUGCCCCAGUACUAGUUUCUACACUACUAUCUUAGGGGAUGACUCUCCCCCUUGUGACCUGUCUGCCAAUUGGGGGAAGCAGUCGCUGGACAUCCUUCAGAUCUCCAAGCAGGUUCCCACCUACCUAGGACCCAGGCAUUCACUGAGGACAUGCCCCUAAAGACCCUGUGCUUAUAGCCUUUCCCUCCCUGUUCAAGUUUUGGCUACUCCCCUAUGGGAUAUGUAUUUGUAUGCAUUUAUAACCUUGUCACUUCUCUAUCUAGGGUAGAAGCACUCAUAGGAGUCACCCUGUUGCCACUGUCAUCCCGGCAACUAUUCCAGCCUGAAGCCCUGGACAGUCAAUACCCCUUUCCUGACAAUAAGCAGGGACAGCUCUACGACCAUUCUCAGCUCUGAAGAAGCUACAGAAUACUGAGGCCAUUUCCCCUUUUCCCUUAGAUAUUUGGAGAAGGGGAGAUGACAUGGGCAUUGUACCCCCAGAAACUCAGGCAAACUAUUAUCAGGGAAAUUCUUCUGCUCCUUUCCAUCCUCAUGACUCCUAGCCUAAGGAUUCUUUGCUUUUAUGCUGAUUAUAUGGGGCUAGUUAAUCGCCUAGUAGCCUUUGUCAAGGAUCACAUUAAUACUGUCUAGCUAUGGCCCUUCACCAACAAUAUCAAACUCUGACUCUUACUAAAUCCCCUUAUGAGAAUAUGGUCAAAGUGGGGAAUGAAGAGCCAACUCCCAAACCCCUUCUUUCCCCUCCCUGACCCCUAACUCCAGGAGAUCCUAUCCCUUCCCCUCCUGACAUAUGCCAGGAGCCAUAAAGACCCUAACCCCAGGAGUUCUUGUCCCUCCCCCUCCUGACAUAUGCCAGGAACUGAUAACACCUCAUCCCUAGGAGUUCCUGUUCAUACUUCCUCCCCAGGAAUUCCUCUGCACUCCCCCUACCACAAAAGUGUAUAAAGCCUGCAAGCCCCAGACCCGGGACCAGUCAUUUUGGGGGCUGAGCCCAAAGUGCACUUUGCUUUAAUAAAACUCUCUCUUGUGUGUUA